CAGCAGUGGGGGAUAUUGCACAAUGGGGGAAACCCUGAUGCAGCGACGCCGCGUGGAGGAAGAAGGUUUUCGGAUUGUAAACUCCUGUCGUUAGGGACGAUAAUGACGGUACCUAACAAGAAAGCACCGGCUAACUACGUGCCAGCAGCCGCGGUAAAACGUAGGGUGCAAGCGUUGUCCGGAAUUACUGGGUGUAAAGGGAGCGCAGGCGGGAAGACAAGUUGGAAGUGAAAACCAUGGGCUCAACCCAUGAAUUGCUUUCAAAACUGUUUUUCUUGAGUAGUGCAGAGGUAGAUGGAAUUCCCGGUGUAGCGGUGGAAUGCGUAGAUAUCGGGAGGAACACCAGCGGCGAAGGCGGUCUACUGGGCACCAACUGACGCUGAGGCUCGAAAGCAUGGGUAGCAAACAGGAUUAGA
rnacentral:rRNA from 1 species